rnacentral:rRNA from 1 species
ACAACGAAGAGUUUGAUCCUGGCUCAGGAUGAACGCUAGCGAUAGGCCUAACACAUGCAAGUCGAGGGGCAGCACUUCGGGUGGCGACCGGCGCACGGGUGAGUAACGCGUAUGCAACCUACCUGUUACAGGGGAAUAACCCGGAGAAAUCCGGACUAAUACCGCAUAAUACUGAGAUGCCGCAUGACAACUCAGUUAAAGAUUUAUUGGUAACAGAUGGGCAUGCGUGACAUUAGCUGGUUGGUGAGGUAACGGCUCACCAAGGCAACGAUGUCUAGGGGUUCUGAGAGGAAGGUCCCCCACACUGGUACUGAGACACGGACCAGACUCCUACGGGAGGCAGCAGUGAGGAAUAUUGGUCAAUGGGCGAGAGCCUGAACCAGCCAAAUCGCGUGCAGGAUGACUGCCUUAUGGGUUGUAAACUGCUUUUGUAAAGGAAUAACAACUCUUACGAGUAAGAGGAUGAAUGUACUUUAAGAAUAAGGAUCGGCUAACUCCGUGCCAGCAGCCGCGGUAAUACGGAGGAUCCAAGCGUUAUCCGGAUUUAUUGGGUUUAAAGGGUGCGUAGGCGGUUAUUUAAGUCAGUGGUGAAAGUUUGCAGCUCAACUGUAAAAUUGCCAUUGAAACUGGGUUACUUGAGUAUGGUAGAGGUAAGCGGAAUGCGUUGUGUAGCGGUGAAAUGCUUAGAUAUAACGCAGAACCCCAAUUGCGAAGGCAGCUUGCUGGACCAUUACUGACGCUGAGGCACGAAAGCGUGGGGAUCAAACAGGAUUAGAUACCCUGGUAGUCCACGCCGUAAACUAUGAAUGCUAGCUAUUGGCGAUAUACAGUCAGUGGCACAGAGAAAUCGUUAAGCAUUCCACCUGGGGAGUACGCCGGCAACGGUGAAACUCAAAGGAAUUGACGGGGGCCCGCACAAGCGGAGGAACAUGUGGUUUAAUUCGAUGAUACGCGAGGAACCUUACCCGGGUUUGAACGUAGGGGGAAUAUAGUGGAAACAUUAUAGCCAGCAAUGGUCGCCUACGAGGUGCUGCAUGGUUGUCGUCAGCUCGUGCCGUGAGGUGUCGGCUUAAGUGCCAUAACGAGCGCAACCCCUAUCAUUAGUUACUAACAGGUUAAGCUGAGGACUCUAAUGAGACUGCCGGCGUAAGCCGCGAGGAAGGUGGGGAUGACGUCAAAUCAGCACGGCCCUUACAUCCGGGGCGACACACGUGUUACAAUGGUGGGUACAGAAGGCCGCUACCUGGUGACAGGAUGCCAAUCUCCAAAACCCAUCUCAGUUCGGAUCGAAGUCUGCAACCCGACUUCGUGAAGCUGGAUUCGCUAGUAAUCGCGCAUCAGCCAUGGCGCGGUGAAUACGUUCCCGGGCCUUGUACACACCGCCCGUCAAACAAUGGAAGUUGGGGGUACCUAAAGUACGUAACCGUAAGGAGCGUCCUAGGGUAAAACCGAUAACUGGUGUUAAGUCGUAACAAGGUAGCCGUACCGGAAGGUGCGGCUGGAACACCUCCUUU